rnacentral:rRNA from 1 species
GACCUUGAAAUACCACCCUUUAAUGUUUGAUGUUCUAACGUGGAUCCGUAAUCCGGGUUGCGGACAGUGUCUGGUGGGUAGUUUGACUGGGGCGGUCUCCUCCUAAAGAGUAACGGAGGAGCACGAAGGUUGGCUAAUCCUGGUCGGACAUCAGGAGGUUAGUGCAAUGGCAUAAGCCAGCUUGACUGCGAGCGUGACGGCGCGAGCAGGUGCGAAAGCAGGUCAUAGUGAUCCGGUGGUUCUGAAUGGAAGGGCCAUCGCUCAACGGAUAAAAGGUACUCCGGGGAUAACAGGCUGAUACCGCCCAAGAGUUCAUAUCGACGGCGGUGUUUGGCACCUCGAUGUCGGCUCAUCACAUCCUGGGGCUGAAGUAGGUCCCAAGGGUAUGGCUGUUCGCCAUUUAAAGUGGUACGCGAGCUGGGUUUAGAACGUCGUGAGACAGUUCGGUCCCUAUCUGCCGUGGGCGCUGGAGAACUGAGGGGGGCUGCUCCUAGUACGAGAGGACCGGAGUGGACGCAUCACUGGUGUUCGGGUUGUCAUGCCAAUGGCACUGCCCGGUAGCUAAAUGCGGAAGAGAUAAGUGCUGAAA